UUUUACAAUGAAGCUGCUCUCAUGAUUGCUGAGUGCACAGAGGCCUUGCACAGGGAAACCUGAAGGGGAAGAAGGGACCUGAAAGAGGUUGGAUCAUGGAGUGCUUCCAGGAUGCAGGCACCAGAGAAGUUCAACUCCUUCCUUCAGGGUGCAACUGCAGUGAUGCUGAUUUUGUAUAUUUCAACCUACAGGAUCUUGUUCAUCCUCAAUGUGGUCUUGAGAGUGUUCACAUUUGAAAGCAUCAAAUUGACUCAUCGUGCUUCCUCUCGAUUCUCCAGCCACAAGCCCGCUCAUAUCCAAGACCCCAGUUAUGUCCUGCCUCUUCCAGAACUUUCCUCAUUCCAACCAUCUUUUCUACUUAGGUCCCUCCUUGGAAACUUUUUAUCUUUAACAACUUCCAGCUAUGUGUGCUUGUGCACCUUAUAACCUCUUUGAGAGUCAAGUUCUGCUAUGUCUGUAAGGCAGGGAUGGAUAGUAUUCAAAUAAACACUGCCUUGUGUACCUAAAGGGCUGCCA
rnacentral:lncRNA from 1 species